rnacentral:lncRNA from 1 species
UGAGUUCACAAUUGUAACACUUGGAGGUUCACGGCUGUUUCUUACUGAGAAGAGAGCACAGACUCUGUAAAACUCCCUCCUUGUCCGUCUCACAUUACUUUCAAGAAACGCAGCUUCAGCUCCAGAUCAUCAAAGCCCCACAAAAACUGCGAAGGAAGAAGGCACUCGAAGCUGAACACAAACUGCUAGAUUCAGAGGACACUGCCCCAGCUGUGAGUUAAUGACCACUAAGGAUUACAGGCUAUAUGAACAGGAACAGCUUCUUUCCUUUUUUCCCUGCUGGCAUGUGAGCUGUAAAAGGGACUAACAAGGAGAGGGAGAGAGAAGCUUAAGAGCUAAACAGCAGGUUAAGGAUCCAGUGUUGUUACUGCUGGGGUGCAGGUUUGAUCUUCCACAUCCAUUGGGCAUGGCCAAAAAAAAAAAAA